UUGGAUUGUGCUGCUAAGCGGUUGAUGUAGAGGACUUUAGAGGAUGAGGACGUGCUAGUAAUAGAGGAGCGAAUGGAUUAUUUGUGUAAUGUAAUAUUAGCGUUAAGGGCCGAGAAGCUGGUCCGCAAGGGUUGUGAGGCUUUCCUCGCGUAUGUUAGGAAUUCUGAGACUAAAAGUCUUACUGUUGGAAAUGUUAGAACUGUUAAGGAGUUUACAGAUGUUUUUCCAAAAGAGCUGUCGGGCUUGCCUCCAGACCGAGAGGUCGAAUUAGGAAUUUAGCUUCUACCAGGGACAGCUCCAGUGUCCA
rnacentral:lncRNA from 1 species